rnacentral:rRNA from 1 species
UACGGGGGGGGCAAGCGUUGUUCGGAAUUACUGGGCGUAAAGGGCUCGUAGGCGGCCAACUAAGUCGGACGUGAAAUCCCUCGGCUUAACCGGGGAACUGCGUCUGAUACUGGAUGGCUUGAGUUUGGGAGAGGGAUGCGGAAUUCCAGGUGUAGCGGUGAAAUGCGUAGAUAUCUGGAGGAACACCCGAGGCGAAGGCGGCUCUCUGGGUCGUACCUGACGCUGAGGCGCGAAAGCGUGGGGAGCGAACGGG